rnacentral:rRNA from 1 species
GGAUUGUAGGCUGCAACUCGCCUACAUGAAGUCGGAAUCGCUAGUAAUCGCGGAUCAGCAUGCCGCGGUGAAUACGUUCCCGGGCCUUGUACACACCGCCCGUCACACCAUGAGAGUUUGUAACACCCAAAGCCGGUGGGGUAACCUUUUGGAGCCAGCCGUCUAAGGUGGGACAGAUGAUUGGGGUGAAGUCGUAACAAGGUAAC